rnacentral:rRNA from 1 species
UACGAGGGGGGCAAACGUUGUUCGGAAUUACUGGGCGUAAAGCGCGUGUAGGCUGCUUCGCAAGUCUGAUGUGAAAGCCCUGGGCUCAACCCAGGAAGUGCAUUCGAAACUGCAGAGCUGGAGUCCUGGAGAGGAAGGCGGAAUUCUCGGUGUAGAGGUGAAAUUCGUAGAUAUCGAGAGGAACACCGGUGGCGAAGGCGGCCUUCUGGACAGUGACUGACGCUGAGACGCGAAAGCGUGGGGAGCAAACAGG